CAUCCUUCUAAUCAGGCAAAGGUUCAGUGAAUUCUUGAUGGCCAUUAUGCAUUUCCUGAUCUUUUCGAUGUUGUUUUUGACCAGACACAGAAAGGGAAAUAAACGACGACAACUAGGGCUAGUUUCCUCUUCCAAAUUGAUGUGGGAACAUUAUUCCCCUCUUGAAAUCUUGAAUUUUAUUAACCAGUUACUUAGAUGUUGCAAUUGUUGAUCAUUUCCACCCAAAUAUUAUCUCUUUAUGAAUAUGGGGAGCCCACGAGGAUUGCAUGAACAAAGAUUGGUAGCUGUGGCCAUUGAUAAAAAUAAAGGAAGCCAAUAUGCACUUAAUGGGCUAUUGAAAAUGUACUUGAAAAGGGCCAAAAGGUCACGUUAAUCCAUGUUCCUCAAACUACAUCAGCACCACAAUCCCCAACAUCAUGUCACAAUGGUAUAGUAGGAGGCAAUGAUCUAUCAAUCGGACAAGAUUCAAACAACCAAUGUACAGAUCUCUAAUCGUAGUUGAAGGUAACAUUGCAAAGUCUCUCAUUGACCCAUGUUUCACUAUAUAGAGUUCAAAAUUUGAUACUUGGUUGUCCAUCAAAAAAUGGGAUUUCAAGACUUUUCACUAAAAGUGAUGUUGCAAAUAAUGUACUGAAAAGGGCACCAAGCUUUUGCAAUAUUUACAUAGUUUCCAAAGGGAAAAUCAAUUCUGUAAGAAUGGCUUCUCACCCAUUGAUACGGAGAUCCUCAAUUCCUAGCAUACAAAUUCCACAACGCAAUUCCAACUUUGAUGCAGCUAAUUUAAUAAGAAGUGGAGAGCCUACAAGUUCCACUAGACCAAGGUUGUCAGGUUUUAGUCCUACAAGGUUGGUUGAUCAUCUCGACUCCAGAAAUGACUUGCUACUAUCCGAACAGAAAUGUGAAGAAAAUUCGUUGUCCUCGGAUAAAAUUGUAAGCUUCGAACUUCUUCCAGCUCUGUUAAGUGUGAUUAAAAUAUUUUCCUAGAGAGUAAAAUUCUAUAAGAAAAAACUAAAAUUAGAAGUAUCUGACAGUAACAGAUCAUUGGGGGCAAAGAGUUGGUGAUUAUCAUGAAUGAGGAAAACGAAACUAAGGUUUAUA